CAUAUACUCCCUCCGUCCCAAAAUUCUUGUCUAAGAUUUGUCUAAAUACGGAUGUAUCAAGUCACGUUUUAGUAUUAGAUACAUCCGUAUCUAGACGAAUCUAAGACAAGAAUUUUGGGACGGAGGGAGUAUAUA
rnacentral:pre_miRNA from 1 species